GAAAGGGCGCACGGUGGAUGCCUUGGCACUAGGAGCCGAUGAAGGACGGGACGAACACCGAUAUGCUUCGGGGAGCUGUAAGCAAGCUUUGAUCCGGAGAUUUCCGAAUGGGGAAACCCACCACUCGUAAUGGAGUGGUAUCCAUAUCUGAAUUCAUAGGAUAUGAGAAGGCAGACCCGGGGAACUGAAACAUCUAAGUACCCGGAGGAAGAGAAAGCAAAUGCGAUUCCCUGAGUAGCGGCGAGCGAAACGGGAUUAGCCCAAACCAAGAGGCUUGCCUCUUGGGGUUGUAGGACACUCUGUACGGAGUUACAAAGGAACGAGGUAGAUGAAGAGGUCUGGAAAGGCCCGCCAUAGGAGGUAACAGCCCUGUAGUCAAAACUUCGUUCUCUCCUGAGUGGAUCCUGAGUACGGCGGAACACGUGAAAUUCCGUCGGAAUCCGGGAGGACCAUCUCCCAAGGCUAAAUACUCCCUAGUGACCGAUAGUGAACCAGUACCGUGAGGGAAAGGUGAAAAGCACCCCGGAAGGGGAGUGAAAGAGAUCCUGAAACCGUGUGCCUACAAGUAGUCAGAGCCCGUUAACGGGUGAUGGCGUGCCUUUUGUAGAAUGAACCGGCGAGUUACGAUCCCGUGCAAGGUUAAGCAGAAGAUGCGGAGCCGCAGCGAAAGCGAGUCUGAAUAGGGCGCAUGAGUACGUGGUCGUAGACCCGAAACCAGGUGAUCUACCCAUGUCCAGGGUGAAGUUCAGGUAACACUGAAUGGAGGCCCGAACCCACGCACGUUGAAAAGUGCGGGGAUGAGGUGUGGGUAGGGGUGAAAUGCCAAUCGAACCUGGAGAUAGCUGGUUCUCUCCGAAAUAGCUUUAGGGCUAGCCUCAAGGUAAGAGUCUUGGAGGUAGAGCACUGAUUGGACUAGGGGCCCCUACCGGGUUACCGAAUUCAGUCAAACUCCGAAUGCCAAUGACUUAUCCUUGGGAGUCAGACUGCGAGUGAUAAGAUCCGUAGUCGAAAGGGAAACAGCCCAGACCGCCAGCUAAGGUCCCAAAGUAUACGUUAAGUGGAAAAGGAUGUGGAGUUGCUUAGACAACCAGGAUGUUGGCUUAGAAGCAGCCACCAUUUAAAGAGUGCGUAAUAGCUCACUGGUCGAGUGACUCUGCGCCGAAAAUGUACCGGGGCUAAACGUAUCACCGAAGCUGCGGACUGUUCUUCGAACAGUGGUAGGAGAGCGUUCUAAGGGCUGUGAAGCCAGACCGGAAGGACUGGUGGAGCGCUUAGAAGUGAGAAUGCCGGUAUGAGUAGCGAAAGAGGGGUGAGAAUCCCCUCCACCGAAUGCCUAAGGUUUCCUGAGGAAGGCUCGUCCGCUCAGGGUUAGUCGGGACCUAAGCCGAGGCCGAAAGGCGUAGGCGAUGGACAACAGGUUGAUAUUCCUGUACCACCUCCUCACCAUUUGAGCAAUGGGGGGACGCAGGGAGGAUAGGGUAAGCGCGGUAUUGGAUAUCCGCGUCCAAGCAGUUAGGCUGGGAAAUAGGCAAAUCCGUUUCCCAUAAGGCUGAGCUGUGAUGGCGAGCGAAAUAUAGUAGCGAAGUUCCUGAUUCCACACUGCCAAGAAAAGCCUCUAGCGAGGUGAGAGGUGCCCGUACCGCAAACCGACACAGGUAGGCGAGGAGAGAAUCCUAAGGUGAUCGAGAGAACUCUCGUUAAGGAACUCGGCAAAAUGACCCCGUAACUUCGGGAGAAGGGGUGCUCUGUUAGGGUGCAAGCCCGAGAGAGCCGCAGUGAAUAGGCCCAGGCGACUGUUUAGCAAAAACACAGGUCUCUGCGAAGCCGUAAGGCGAAGUAUAGGGGCUGACGCCUGCCCGGUGCUGGAAGGUUAAGAGGAGCGCUUAGCGUAAGCGAAGGUGCGAAUUUGAAGCCCCCAGUAAACGGCGGCCGUAACUAUAACGGUCCUAAGGUAGCGAAAUUCCUUGUCGGGUAAGUUCCGACCCGCACGAAAGGCGCAACGAUCUGGGCACUGUCUCAACGAGAGACUCGGUGAAAUUAUAGUACCUGUGAAGAUGCAGGUUACCCGCGACAGGACGGAAAGACCCCGUGGAGCUUUACUGCAGCCUGAUAUUGAAUGUUGGUACAGCUUGUACAGGAUAGGUAGGAGCCUUGGAAACCGGAGCGCCAGCUUCGGUGGAGGCAUCGGUGGGAUACUACCCUGGCUGUAUUGACCUUCUAACCCGCCGCCCUUAUCGGCGGGGAGACAGUGUCAGGUGGGCAGUUUGACUGGGGCGGUCGCCUCCUAAAAGGUAACGGAGGCGCCCAAAGGUUCCCUCAGAAUGGUUGGAAAUCAUUCGCAGAGUGUAAAGGCACAAGGAGCUUGACUGCGAGACCUACAAGUCGAGCAGGGACGAAAGUCGGGCUUAGUGAUCCGGUGGUUCCGCAUGGAAGGGCCAUCGCUCAACGGAUAAAAGCUA
rnacentral:rRNA from 1 species